AUAUCGGGUUUUUAUUCUGUCUAUCGGUAUUUGUUGUGCUGCACUUCCUUAAUAAUUUUAUGCAUACAAAAUUGAGCAGUAAUUGCCAAAUAAAUUAUAAACAUUUUUCGUAAUGCCAGGAAACAACGAAUGUUUAAUUUUCUUCUUUUGCAAUGCAAAAUCAUCGGAUAGACAUCGCAUUAAUAUUACCGCCAAUUUUAAAUAUUGCCCAUUGCCAUGACGCGCAGGAAAGUGAAAGAUGAGUUUUAAAUAUAUGUUAAUAUUUAUUGGACCAAAUUUACAACAAAGUUCUCAAUUCAAAAAAUAAACUUGUAAGCAAUAGUUGAAUUAUUAAUUAAAGGCGCGCAUGUAGAAUGUCUACCUAGCGCCAUCUAUGUAUGGAUGUAUAUUUUGAGAUAUCAUCAGAUCAUCAGAUAAACUUAUCUUUAGAAAAUUAUGAAUUUACCGCUAUCCUGAUUCCAUUGUGAUUAUAGCACUGCAUACCUUCAAAAUAGAAAAUAAAGGAACAACCCCCCGUUAAUUACUCAGCUUUUUUUAUUUUUGCAACGACCUUUGGGUAAUCAUUUAAUUCUAGUGUCUACGCAGUCCGAUUAAAAUUAUACUAAGAUUCUCUUCGCUAGCUCCGUCGGCCACAAAAUUACAAUAUAUUUGUUAGGUACUUGCGUUUGUUUCUUGGCUAGUUUGGAAUUGAAAACAACUAAAUUUUAAAAUUAAAGCAGACUUUGGUUGUCAGUUUUCUUCUGUGGUUCGUUGGAUAUGCGUGGUUUUGGAUUAAAAUCAAUAAGCUAACUAAGGCAACAACCUAUACAAUCCUUUUAGUUAACUGGUUAGAAAAUGGAAUCCAAAGAUUCAUUGAGUUGG